AUAGGUUCGCUGACAGGAUGUUAAUGAUGUUAUAUAUCCAAAUCCGUGAGACGUUUAUUUUGUUUAGCGAUGUGUCACCUAUUUACACUCGUAUUUUGCCUAUUUUAACAGACACAUUUAUAUUCAGUCGAGUGUUUUACCGUAUAAUUGAGGAAUUAACUGUUAUUAACACUUCUAAUCAAAGUAAAUAGAAUGCAUAUUAUUGAGUUUUGGAUAUAUAGCAUUUUGUAAUAAAUUGGGUAUCUAUUAGGACUUUGUGGUGAAGUAAAAAGUUAAGUAUAUUAAGAAGUCAAAAUGGAACUGAGAUAUUUUUAUUUAAUUAUUAUUGUAAUUACGGCAUAUGGAGCAGCUAGUGUCCCUCUAAUAAUGGAUGUUAAGGAAUUGGCUAUAAAUGGCUCUCCAAGAUAUCAGCGAAGUUAUCGUAGUUUAUGCAAAACCAUUUUUUUACGAGCGAAAGGAGUUAAAAUCAGCAUAUGUAAUGCGCAUUGUAUAUCUAAAGGGAAUACUGGAGGAUUCUGCUUUGAGAACCAAUGUCACUGCAUUAAAGAUGAAAAAUAAAACUUAUGUUAUAUUCUUAAAAACAGAUUUUCUGGUUAUGUAUUUUUUCAUGAUUAUAAUAAGAAUAAAAUAGAAUUAUUAUUUCA